UACGGGGGGUUCGAGCGUUAAUCGGAGUAACUGGGCGUAAAGGGCACGCAGGCGGACUUUUAAGUGAGGUGUGAAAUCCUCGGGCUUAACCUGGGAAUUGCAUUUGAUACUGGGAGUCUAGAGUACUUUAGGGAGGGGUAGAAUUCCACGUGUAGCGGUGAAAUGCGUAGAGAUGUGGAGGAAUACCGAAGGCGAAGGCAGCCCCUUGGGAAUGUACUGACGCUCAUGUGCGAAAGCGUGGGGAGCAAACAGG
rnacentral:rRNA from 1 species